rnacentral:rRNA from 1 species
UACAGAGGUCUCAAGCGUUGUUCGGAAUCACUGGGCGUAAAGGGUGCGUAGGCCGCAGGUAAGUCAGAGGUGAAAUCCCGGAGCUCAACUUCGGAAUUGCCUCCGAUACUGCCGUGCUUGAGGACUGGAGAGGAGUCUGGAAUUCACAGUGGAGCAGUGAAAUGCGUAGAUAUUGUGAGGAACACUAGUGGCGAAGGCGAGACUCUGGACAGUUCCUGACGCUGAGGCACGAAGGCCAGGGAGCAAACGGG